rnacentral:tRNA from 1 species
UCUAAUGUGACAGAAUAGUGUGGUGGAUUUAAACCCCGUUUAUAAAGAUUUCUUCUUUCUUUAGAA